rnacentral:piRNA from 1 species
ACAGACAAAAGGCUCAUGGACGUAAA